rnacentral:rRNA from 1 species
AGACCUUACCCAGGCUUGACAUCCCAGGACAGCCCAUGAAAGUGGGUCUUCCCUUCGGGGACCUGGAGACAGGUGUUGCAUGGCUGUCGUCAGCUCGUGUCGUGAGAUGUUGGGUUAAGUCCCGCAACGAGCGCAACCCUUGUCCUUAGUUACCAGCGGUUCGGCCGGGCACUCUGAGGAGACUGCCGAUGAUAAGUCGGAGGAAGGUGGGGACGACGUCAAGUCAUCACGGCCCUUACGCCUGGGGCUACACACGUGCUACAAUGGUCGGUACAGAGGGUCGCAAGACCGCGAGGUGGAGCUAAUCCCAAAAAGCCGGCCUCAGUUCGGAUUGCAGUCUGCAACUCGACUGCAUGAAGUCGGAAUCGCUAGUAAUCGCGCAUCAGCUACGGCGCGGUGAAUACGUUCCCGGGCCUUGUACACACCG